UCUUUCAGGGAAACAGUAUAUUAUUUGCCAGUGAGUUGGUGUUGUCUCAGAGUUUUCUGCUAAAAUUCAAGAGAAUAUUUAUCAACUUGCAGUAAUUGAUAGAAAUCUUCCUGGGAUGGGGUCUCGUUUCCCCAUACUUCUGAACCAAUGAAGAGAAAAUGGGAAGCAAAGCUGAAGCAGAUUGAAGAACGAGCAUCCAGUUACGAAAGGAAACCCUUGUCCUCAGUGUACAGACCCCGGCUGUCAAAGGUAGAAGAACCACCCUCUAUUUGGAAACUAUUUUCUCGGCAAACUCAAGCUUUUAAUUUUGUUAAAAGCUGUAAAGAGGAUGUUCAUGUAUUUGCUUUGGAAUGCGAAGUGGGAGAUGGACAACGUAUUUACCUUGUAACAACCUAUGUUCAGCUUUGGUUUUAUUAUAAAUCCCGAAAAAAUCUCUUACACUGCUAUGAAGUCAUUCCUGAAAAAGCUGUUUGCAAGCUCUAUUUUGAUUUGGAAUUUAACAAACUUGCCAAUCCAGGAGCUGAUGGAAAAAAGAUGGUUGCAUCACUCAUUGAGCAUGUUUGUAAAGCACUUCAAGAGUUAUACAGGGUUAAUUGUUCAGCCGAAUAUGUUCUCAACUUAGAUUCUAGCACUGAUGAAAAAUUUAGCCGCCAUUUAAUAUUUCAACUCCAUGGGGUGGCAUUUCAAGAUAACAUUCAUGUUGGUAAUUUUGUGAGAAAAAUUUUGGAGCCUGCUAUUCAUUUACUUGCCAGUGAAGAUGACAAAGACGAUGGUGGGAUUCCCGAGACAACAGGCCACGGGUUCUCCCAUUUUUCUGAAGCCCCUGGUGAACAAGGAACCCCCUUCAGCAGAAUGCCCGCAGACGAGCUGCGUGAGAGCCAGAUGCUGGACUCAGGUGCCCCGGAGAGGCUGGGAGCAGCAGAGCGGAGCAGUCCUGACCUUUCAUUCUUAAUUGUGAAGGACACCACAGGAAAAAAGCAUCUUUUUGUAGAUCUGGGCGUUUAUACAAGAAAUAGAAACUUUCGGCUGUAUAAAUCAUCAAAAAGAGGAAAGCUUGUGGUUUUGGAGGUCGCCGAAGAUAACAAAUUUUCUCUUACACAGUCAAAGAACAUUUCUGAAGAAAAGCAAUACUUCCUCUCUUCUUUGGUCAGCAAUGUCAGAUUCUCAGACACUCUACAAGUUCUUAGAUGUGACACAUCUGAGAAGAAACAGAAACAGGCUGGGCAUUCUGAUACCAGCACUUCAGUAGGAAACAUUGAAGGUUUUCAGGGUUCACCCUACCCUGAAAUUGAUCAAUUUGUUCUUUCUUUGGUGAAUAAAAAUGGCAUUAAAGGAGGAAUUCGGCGUUGGAACUACUUUUUUCCAGAAGAAUUAUUGGUUUAUGACAUUUGUAAAUAUCGUUGGUGUGGCAACAUUGGAAGAGCCCACAAGAGUAAUAAUAUCAUGAUUUUGGUUGAUCUGAAAAAUGAAGUUUGGUAUCAAAAAUGUCAUGACCCCAUAUGUAAAGCAGAAAACUUCAAAUCUGACCGUUUUCCAUUACCUGCCGAAGUAUGUCUCCCAUCUCUUCUCAAAGAGGAAGAAGAGUUUACAACACAUGAAACAAUGAAUGAUGAAACCGAGAAUCCCCAUAUGUCAUCUAGUACACUGUCCAAAGGUGUACAACAUUGUGAUUAGACAUUUAUACAACUUAUGAAGUGACCACCCAAUGAUGGUUGUCAAUUUUGUGACUACACUACACCACCACUGAAUCACACAUGUUGAAAGGGUGAAUUUUAGGAAAUUAUUCCAGCAAAAAUGUGUGACCACUGCUGUUCUCGAGGUGCGGCAAUUGGGCCCCUCUGUGUCGCCUGCUUCUGGCCUCCGGAGUGGUCAGUGGCAUGGACAGAAGCAGCCCCGCUCGGACACACUGCUGGUCGGGCAGCCAGGAGCUAGCCCGUCUCCCCCUGGACACAG